rnacentral:rRNA from 1 species
CUAUACAUGACUCUGCGCAUAUCAAUAAGCGGAGGAAAAGAAACUAACAAGGAUUCCCUAGUAACGGCGAGUGAAGCGGGAAGAGCUCAAAUUUGAAAUCUUCAAGGUUCUACCUUGACGAAUUGUAGUUUAAAGAAGUGUUUUCUGUUAGGAGAGUGGUAAAAGUUCUUUGGAAUAGGACAUCAUAGAGGGUGAGAAUCCCGUAUUUGAUCACUUUCUACUAGCUUUGUGAUACACUUUCAAAGAGUCGGAUUGUUUGGGAAUGCAGUCCAAAAUGGGUGGUAAAUUUCAUCUAAAGCUAAAUAUUGGCGAGAGACCGAUAGCGAACAAGUACCGUGAGGGAAAGAUGAAAAGAACUUUGAAAAGAGAGUUAAACAGUACGUGAAAUUGUCAAAAGGGAAGCGUUUGACACCAGUGUUGUUUUCUCGAAGAUCAAUUACGAAUGUUUUGUUUUUGAGGAGUUAUGACUUCAUCGGCUUGCUUCUUUCUUUAUGAAACUUUCUUAAUGCACUUUUCGGUUAACAAGUCAACAUCAAUUUCUUUUGUUGUAAAAGGGUAUGAGGAAGGUGGCUUUCUUUUCGGAGAAAGUGUUUAUAGCCUUGUGCCUCUGCAAUCGGAGAGAUUGAGGUCUGCAGCGUAGAUCCUUCGGGGUUAGAUACGUUUGUGCUAAGUUAUAGCUUUUCAUAGACAACUUGUUGACUAUGUUUAGUCUUGUAGCUUACUCGCUUAUGCUAUUUUACCUACGCUUAGGAUGUUGAUAUGCAUGACUGAUAU